GGAGGGCGCGAGCGUUGUUCGGAAUCAUUGGGCGUAAAGCGAGUGUAGGCGGUUCGGCAAGUCGGGUGUGAAAUCCCAGGGCUCAACCCUGGAACUGCACUCGAAACUGUCGGACUAGAGUCCCGGAGAGGAUGGCGGAAUUCCCGGUGUAGAAGUGAAAUUCGUAGAUAUCGGGAGGAACACCAGUGGCGAAGGCGGCCAUCUGGACGGUGACUGACGCUCAGACUCGAAAGCGUGGGUAGCGAACAGGAUUAGAUACCCUGGUAGUCCACGCCGUAAACGUUGGGUGCUCGACGUCGCGGGUAUUGACCCCCCUGCGGUGUCCAAGUUAACGCGUGAAGCACCCCGCCUGGGGAGUACGGUCGCAAGACUA
rnacentral:rRNA from 1 species